rnacentral:rRNA from 1 species
GACGAACGCUGGCGGCGCGCUUAACACAUGCAAGUCGAACGAGAAUCAUUGGUGCUUGCACCGAUGAGGAAAGUGGCGAACGGGUGAGUAACACGUGAGAAACCUGCCCCGAAGACUGGGAUAAGCCUUGGAAACGAGGUCUAAUACCGGAUACCUUCUUAUUAACACAUGUUAACGAGAAGAAAUGCUCCGGCGCUUUGGGAUGGUCUCGCGAUCUAUCAGCUUGUUGGUGAGGUAAAAGCUCACCAAGGCAUCGACGGAUAGCUGGUCUGAGAGGAUGUCCAGCCACAUUGGAACUGAGAUACGGUCCAAACUCCUACGGGAGGCAGCAGUGGGGAAUCUUGCACAAUGGGGGAAACCCUGAUGCAGCGACGCCGCGUGCGGGACGAAGGCCCUAGGGUUGUAAACCGCUUUCAGCAGGGACGAAAGUGACGGUACCUGCAGAAGAAGCCCCGGCCAACUAUGUG